rnacentral:tRNA from 8 species
CGGGGCGUGGCUCAGCUUGGCUAGAGCGCCUGGUUCGGGACCAGGAGGUCGAGAGUUCAAAUCUCUCCGCCCCGA